rnacentral:snRNA from 1 species
AUACUUACCUGGCAGGGGUGAUUCCAUGAUCACGAAGGUGGUUUCCCCAGGGCGAGGCUUAUCCAUUGCACUCCGGAUGGGCUGACCCCUGCGAUUUCCCCAAAUGCGGGAAACUCGACUGCAUAAUUUGUGGUAGUGGGGGGCUGCGUUCGCGCUCUCCCCUG